rnacentral:rRNA from 1 species
CGAGAGGACCGGGAUGGACGCACCGCUGGUGCAUCGGUUGUUCCGCCAGGAGCACGGCCGAGCAGCUAAGUGCGGAUUGGAUAAACGCUGAAAGCAUCUAAGCGUGAAGCCAUCUCCAAGAUAAGAUUUCCCAUAGCAUAAGCUAGUAAGACCCCAUGUGGACUACGUGGUUGAUAGGCUGCAGGUGUAAGCACGGUGACGUGUUCAGCUUGGCAGUACUAAUAGGUCGAGGGCUUGACCAU